GGGGAAGUGUCGGAAUUGGUAGACGAGGCACACUCAAAAUGUGUUGUCGCGAGAGCGGCGUGUGGGGUCGAAUCCCUCCUUCCCUA
rnacentral:tRNA from 1 species